rnacentral:rRNA from 1 species
AACGAACGCUGGCGGCAUGCCUAACACAUGCAAGUCGAACGAGACCUUCGGGUCUAGUGGCGCACGGGUGCGUAACGCGUGGGAACCUGCCCUUAGGUUCGGAAUAACUCCCCGAAAGGGGUGCUAAUACCGGAUAAUGUCUUCGGACCAAAGAUUUAUCGCCUUUGGAAGGGCCCGCGUUGGAUUAGCUAGUUGGUAGGGUAAAAGCCUACCAAGGCGACGAUCCAUAGCUGGUCUGAGAGGAUGAUCAGCCACACUGGGACUGAGACACGGCCCAGACUCCUACGGGAGGCAGCAGUGGGGAAUAUUGGACAAUGGGCGAAAGCCUGAUCCAGCAAUGCCGCGUGAGUGAUGAAGGCCUUAGGGUUGUAAAGCUCUUUUACCCGGGAUGAUAAUGACAGUACCGGGAGAAUAAGCUCCGGCUAACUCCGU